rnacentral:rRNA from 1 species
GACGAACGCUGGCGGCGUGCUUAACACAUGCAAGUCGAACGGAAAGGCCCUGCUUGCAGGGUACUCGAGUGGCGAACGGGUGAGUAACACGUGGGUGAUCUGCCCUUCACUUCGGGCUAAGCCUGGGAAACAGGGUCUAAUACCGGAGAGGAGCCAUCUUUAGUGUGAUGGUUGGAAAGUUUUUUCGGUGUUGGAUGAGCCCGCGGCCUAUCCGCUUGUUGGUGGGGGAAUGGCCUACGAAGGCGGCGACGGGUAGCCGGCCUGAGAGGGUGGACGGCGACAGUGGGUCGGGGAAACGGCCCAGGCUCCUACGGGAGGCAGCAGUGGGGAAUAUUGCACAAGGGGCGCCAGCCUGAUGCAGCGACGCCGCGGGGGGGUGGACGGCCUUCGGGUUGGAAGCCCCUUUCGCUAGGUACGAAGCUUUUUGUGACGGUACCUAGAUAAGAAGCACCGGCUAACUACGUG